rnacentral:misc_RNA from 1 species
GCCGCCGCCACUACCGCCACUCGAUGCGUCGUCGUCGCACCACUGAGUAUCUCACUUGAUAUGUUAGGGUCGUGUUUGCCGCUGGAGACUGUGAUAACUAUCGAAUCGCAUUAUUACGUGCUGUGCACAUCUCAUCAUCCGUCGUUCUCGUAACUAGUAGGCGUGUCGUAGUCGGAAAUUGUGACAACCGCGUGAGAGUGCGAAUAUCGCACAAAUAUCUUAUCUCAAAAGAGAGAAACAGGCAGAAAGAGAAAGAGAGAGAGAGGCUUCGCAACGGGGUGAGUUUCUUUGGCCUGAGAGAGAGGCCUGUUCCAAACGAGAUCAUGAAAAUGAUCUUUUGGAUUAGUUUUCCCCGUUCUUUGGAAUAGAUAUUGACGAUAUGGAUGCAAUAUGGCCUCAGUACUUUGGCAUGUCUCUGGAAAUAGUUUUCUUUCACCUAUCUUCGUGAUACUCUUGCUACUGUGUCCACACAAUUCCACAGCCCGCGAGAUAUUUGAUGCACCACUACCACAAGACUACUUUCCAUCACUGCCACCACCACCGGGAGGAUUCACUACUGCCAAAAUACUAAAGUGCGACCAAAAAUUUGUAAGCACUCCUGAUGGACCGCUGAACGGAACCUUUCAUGCACCGACAUUGGCCAACCCUGAAGGAGAGCCACGUCAAUGCGUUUACACAUUUCUUGCAGGGCCGCGUCAGCGUGUCGAAUUGAUUUUCACGUCGUUUGGCCUUCGAGGAAAACCGCCAGAUGGAUCUGCUGUGGGAGAAUUACCAGCCUGUAUUCAUGAAUAUCUGGACAUUUACUCGGAGAUACGAUCGGAGAACACGACUAAGUUAAUAGAGACACCGUUUGGUGGACGAUUCUGCGGACCAAUUCCACCACGUAGACGGGUCUCCCUUUAUCAAGGAAUUGCUCUCAGUUUCUACACUGACAAGAAUGUCACGUUGCCGCAUAUUUUCGGCGGUAUUUACAAAUUUAUCAACGCCUCCGAGUAUGAAGUUGGCACGCCAGAGCCAAGCACACCGUGUACUUUUACAAUACAUGUGGAUAUCAAACGUAAUGGAAACAUAUUGUCUCCCACUUAUCCCGGCACCUAUCCGAAAGAUCUUAUUUGUAGUUAUCAAUUUGUCGGACAUCGUGGACAACGUGUGCGGUUGGAAUUUCGUGACUUUGAUUUGUUCUUUGGGGGACCACAUUGCCCGUUAGAUUAUGUAAAAGUGUAUGAUGGUCCUGAUAAUUCGACCGCUGUUAUCGGCACUUACUGUGGUCAGCAACGAAAUUUAGUAUUAUAUUCCUCAGAGAACAGUUUAUUUGUGCUAUUUUCAACAUUGAGACGCACGGCAAAUACGCAAAAUCGAGGAUUUAAAGGCAUUUUUGAGUUCUCAGAGAGUUUUGUCAGCCUAGAUUUCAUAACAGAAUAUCAAGGCGAGCAUAUCCGUGGGUCUGAAUGCGACCAAAAAAUCCUUAGUAAGAAGGAAACAUCAGGAUUCGUAGUUAGUCCUAAUUUUCCAUAUCCUUACUUACCUAAGGUUGUUUGCCGUUACUUCAUCUAUGGCAUGCAAGACUCGCAACAUCUAGAGCGCGUGCGGUUGGAAUUUCAAGUAUUUACAAUACAGAUGCCCAAGGGAGAGACGUCGUGUACCGAUGGCUAUCUAAAAUUAUAUUUAAAAGGUCAAGAAGCAACGGAUUCUUACGACAAAUUCGAUUAUGAGAUGUGUGGUAAUAAUAGUAAUCCAAAUUAUGUAGUCAGCGACGGGCCGAGACUUGUGAUGGUAUUCAGUAGCGGAGAAUUACAGGCACAAGGCUUUAAAGCUAAGUACACUUUUGAAACGGAGUACAAGAUACCGGGUACUGCAGCACCCGAUGGCAGUUGCACUUUUACUUAUCGCAGUUCUUCUCGUAAACGUGGCGAAUUUAAUUCACCACGAUAUCCUAGCAAUUAUCCGAGCGACACGAAUUGCACGUAUUUCUUUCUAGCGACGCCAGAUGAACAGGUUGCUUUAAUCUUCGAUCACUUUAAAGUUCGCACAAGAAACGAUAAUGUGACAAUUGGAUAUUAUGGAUACGAGUUCUGCCAGGAAGAUUGGCUAGAGAUUUAUAACAUGUACCGAGACGAUACGGAGAAAUUGAUAGGAAGGUAUUGCGGCGGGACCGCACCGGGCCCGGUAGAGUCAAAUCUCGGUGCUCUUGGAUUAAAAGUGAUCUUACAUUCCGAUUCUGAACUUGUCUACAGCGGCUUCAAAGCACGUUAUACUUUUGAAAUCGCUAAACCUAUUUUUGGAGAUUGUGGAUCAAAUAUUAGUAGUCUAAAUUAUGGUAUAAUAACUAGUCCAAAUUUCCCAAAUAAUUAUGAUGGACCGGCAAAAAACUUAGCUAGUAAAAGUUGCAACUGGUUUAUAAGAGUUCGACCAGAUCAGCGAAUACUCUUAAACUUUGAAGUCUUCUCCGUAGAAGGUGAUCAACUAGUACGAGGUUGUCCUGCAGCCGUGUUACGCAUGUGGUAUUCUUCUAUUCCUCGUGAGCUUUGUGGUGUCAAAGAUCCUAAUACUAAAUGGGAUUAUCUUUCAGAAGAUCAUAAUAUGCGACUCAGUUUUAUAUCAGCUGAUAAAGCAGUAGGGCAACAAGGCUUUCGAGCUGUGUGGACCGAAGUGAGCAUGAACACAGAUUGCGAGAACCAAUUUCUAUGCAGUAAAAGCAAAUAUUGCAUCAACGAAUCGCUACGGUGCAAUAACAUUGAUAAUUGUGGACCUGAUGAUUCGUCGGACGAGGAAAACUGUGCAGCAUCAGCUCCAUUGUCACCAACACUGACUGGGGUCUCUACUGCCAUGCUUCCUCUCUCUCUGUGCUUUGUAUUCGUGGCCAUCUGAGCCCCCUUCAUGAAGCUUCCAGACGAUCCGGCAUGUUAUGAUCUCCCUUUAUCACGCGUCACCGUCAUACCAGCAGACAGCUACACGAUGCCGAUAGUCUAUGCGAUCGGCAGUAUCUUGGUGAUCAUGAUG